rnacentral:rRNA from 1 species
CUCCGAAGGGGGCAAGCGUUGUUCGGAAUAACUGGGCGUAAAGCGCACGUUGGCGGAAUGUUAAGUUAGAGGUGAAAUCCCAGGGCUCAACCCUGGAACGGCCUUUAAUACUGGCAAUCUAGAGACCGAGAGAGGUGAGUGGAAUUCCGAGUGUAGAGGUGAAAUUCGUAGAUAUUCGGAGGAACACCAGUGGCGAAGGCGGCUCACUGGCUCGGUACUGACGCUGAGGUGCGAAAGCGUGGGGAGCAAACAGGAUUAGAAACCCUUGUAGUCC